rnacentral:rRNA from 1 species
GACGAACGCUGGCGGCGUGCCUAAUACAUGCAAGUAGAACGCAGUUGCGAACGGGUGAGUAACGCGUAGGUAACUGCCUCAUAGCGGGGGAUAACUAUUGGAAACGAUAGCUAAUACCGCAUACUGUGAGAUGGACCUGCGUGGUAUUAGCUAGUUGGUGAGGUAAAGGGGAACCAAGGCGACGAUACAUAGCCGACCUGAGAGGAGGAUCGGACACACUGGAACUGAGACACGGCCCAGACUCCGACGGGAGGCAGCAGUAGGGAAUCGUCGGACAUGGACGGAAGUCUGACCGAGCAACGCCGCGUAAAUGAAGAAGGUUUUCGGAUCGUAAAGCUCUGUUGUUAGAGAAGCGGUAACUACCCAGAAGGGGACGACUAACGACGUGCCAGCAGCCGCGGUAAUUC